rnacentral:rRNA from 1 species
CAGUCGCCACGGUAAUACGUAGGGUGCAAGCGUUAAUCGGAAUUACUGGGCGUAAAGCGUGCGCAGGCGGUUCGUUAAGACAGAUGUGAAAUCCCCGGGCUUAACCUGGGAACUGCAUUUGUGACUGGCGAGCUAGAGUAUGGCAGAGGGGGGUAGAAUUCCACGUGUAGCAGUGAAAUGCGUAGAGAUGUGGAGGAAUACCGAUGGCGAAGGCAGCCCCCUGGGCCAAUACUGACGCUCAUGCACGAAAGCGUGGGGAGCAAACAGGAUUAGAUACCCGCGUAGUCCCUGUCUCUUAUAC